UAGUAUAUAUUGUUGUCAAAAACUGAAAAUAAAUAAAUAAACGACAUCCUAAAAUAUAAACGUGGAAUGAAAGUCUAAGUCGAUCAUCUGUAUAACAAUUGAUCUCCUUGGUCUUGGUGCAGGAUAAUAGGUAGUAUCCAGAGCAUGUUCUUUUUCUAUGUGCGGUCCAUCAUUUUCCCUUUUCUCUUUUGUCCCUUUCAAUUUUGAGGAGUUGCAAUUUUCUUUGCUUCUUUUUUCUUCUCCUUUACUGCGCUUUGUUUCUUCUUGUGAGGGGUAACACUCUUGUUCACCGGAUUUGCAUUUUUGUUGGUCGAAGACGUUUGAGUGAAGAUGUUAAAAGACGGAGCCUCAAUUUCAACAUUAGAACUCGCUUCUACGAAUCUGAGCUCUUUCUAAGUGUAUGCUCAUCUUUUUUUGAAAAGCCUAAAAUCUUGAUUCUUAGUAUUGUGAAAAAGAUUUGGCCUUUCUUUUGAGUGUACAACGAAG
rnacentral:lncRNA from 1 species